rnacentral:lncRNA from 1 species
AGAACCUAUAGUUUCUAUCAUUUUGUGAUACACGGAUGGUUGCUAUUGGAUAUGUGGAAAGAUAGAUCAUAUUGAAUCAAAUGGCGAAUACUGGUAUAUGGCUUGCAAACGUUGUGCAAAAAAAAGUAGCUAAAAUUGAUCAUAAGUUCUUUGCAAUGUUUUUUGCUUUUUUUUUGUCUUUUUCGUUUUUGCUUUUUUUUUUCUUUUAAUUAGCUCAUUUAUUUUCUUCUAUUUUUCUGUUUAAUUUUUUAUUUUCAACACCUUUUUAACUUUUUUCUAUUUUUUCAUCUAUUUUUUUUAAUAUUACCUUUAUUCACACAAUAGUUAUUUUUUCUUACAACUAUAAUUACUUAACCAAAUAAUUAACAUUACAAGUUUUCGUGAGUAAUUGUUUGGAAAUUAAUGAAAUAUCCUUGUCCUAGUUUUGAUGAUACCAAAACUCUUAGAUUUCUUUUUUUGUAGACUAGAUCAUUUUGAACUCAAGUGUUAGAGUUCAGUUAACUAGUUAGACUGAUGUUUGAAGACUGAAGACCGCUUGACUGAAGAUCGCAACUGAAAUGGCUGAAGACA